GUGGUGAGUGAGUGAGUGAGUGAGUGAGUGAGUGAGUGAGUGAGUGAGUGAGUGAGUGAGUGAGUGAGUGAGUGAGUGAGUGAGUGAGUGAGUGAGUGAAUGAGUGAGUGAGUGAGUGAGUUUUCUCAAACCCUCAUUUAUAGUAUAUUUCGUAACAACAAAUUUCACAUUUGUUGUACGAAUUAGAUUUUUAACUUUGUCUGUCUUGUCUUACAAUAGAGACCGAAGAGAUUCCAAACUUUUUCUGAUUUUUUUUUAUUAACUUUUAUUUUACACAAUGUUGUUUAAAUGAGAACAUCCGUAUCAAGUUGUUUCUUUAUCUUUCAAUAGGAUUUCUUCAUUAUAAAUACAAAUUCGAACGUGACUCUUGUUGAUUCUUAAAUAUUAAAGGAAUAAAAUCAUGAUAUAUUAGUCUUAUAUGUAUAUAUAAGUUCUUACAUAAUAUACUAAUCCUUACCGCGAAAACAAAUCAGUGAUUCACCUAGUAAGCAAGAAACAUUACAGCGACAUUUAAAAAUGUCGAUUACAUGUAUACUUUUAAAUGUUUCAUAUUAAUAUUGUAUAAACAUUUAAAAAGAUUAUUUACCUUUUUUUUAAUAUAUUGUUAAAAAAAAAUUAUCUUCAAAAACGUCAGUCGACAAACCCCCUGUUGGUAUGGAUUCAUACGAAAAUGAUUCUUAUAAAAGUUCCACAACUUUAAAUGACCAAUUAUUAUUAUUAUCGAGCAUUUCGUAUUAGCCAGAAAUUUCGACGAUUGGUCAAAUAUACAAACAAGAGGAAAAUUUCAAUCUUAAACCAACAAAGGUACAAAGCGUUACAAUAAUCAGUGAAACAAUCGGAGCGGUCCACCAUUCUGGUCAUUCCGGAUAUAUAUCUCAACACAAAGUUAUUAGCGAAAUUCCAAAACCGUUGGCACAACAGAUAAAAAGCAAUGCACCAAUUACCAAGAAAACAGGACAGUGUAUUACUACGAGAGAAAUGUGUUGCAUCGAUAUCCCGGCGAAUAGUCGAACAAAUUCCUAAAAGUAAUCUCUACUAGGAAAAGGAAACACUCGUUCAGGAUCGAGAAACGAUAUCUAAGAAGAUUGGAGUAAAAGAAUCAGUUAUUAAUAAUUCUGUAACGAACUCUAAAGUGAUUCAAAGCGACAAAGGCAAAUUGACACCUAUGCCGCCUGUGAUCGUUGAUCGUGAGCAUAAUCGCAAAGGUGACGUAGUGGACGACCUCCAACAGACUUCAACGCUUUUCCUCGGCAGACAUCGAAAGUGUUGCACCGACUGACGUUCCUAACAGAUUAACUCAUUGGGUGAAUUUGCAAGAUCUGAUUUUCUCGUCAAUACUGGAAAUGUCUACAGUUCUAUCCGAUGAAUUUACGAGUGCCAAGGAAUUACCUAAGCCCAUUAAAUCGCGAAGUCACACUACUUAAGGUUUUACGCUUCUUAAUUCAUCCUCAGUACUUUCGAUUCCCGAAUAAAAUGAAAACGGUUUCAGAAUUACUUUACUUAUUAUUGAAUAUCAUCUAAUUUAUUUACGAUUUUGAAAAUACAUCAAUUUUAAUCCAACAGUAUAUAUACAUAUAUAUAUAUAUAUAUAUAUAUAUAUAUAUAUAUAUAUAAAUUACGGAAUAUUUAUUUUAUAUUUUAGGUUUUAUUCUUAUUUAGUAAAUAUAUAUUAUCACAUUUAAUAAAGUAUCUAUGUCUUUACAUGCUAUGUUUAAAAGUACUUAUUUGUAGGCUUUUUUAUGUAAAAUAUCAUCAUAAUUUUAUUAUGUUACUUUUAAAUCAUUUUAAAUGAACAACUCUGAAUAUUUAUAAAUAAUUGACUUUUCUUUACUGAUAAUAUACCUAAUUUAAGAAAAGCAUUCAUAUAAAUAUAUAAAAAUACAAGGGUCAUUUGAAAAGUUUCCGGCCUUUUGAAGAAAAACACAUAUUUUGAAGCAAAAUAAAAUUUAUUUCUCGACGUA